rnacentral:lncRNA from 10 species
GCCCGGUCUAAAUACAAAAGAUUUACUGUCAACACCUUGAAACUUGGAAAGGGUCCAUUACAUGCCAGCAUCAGACUUUUGGUGGAGAAGCGCGGUGGUGGGGAGGGUAGGAAGAUGCUGAGAAGAAAAGACGAAGGGGAAGAGGGAGAUGAAAAUCCAUCAGUCCUCCCUCUGAGUCUAGUUGGCCAGGACAAGGACGACACAGGACUUUUGUGAAAGAUUCUGGAAAUAUUUCAGAGAGUUGCCUUGAGAAUAUCCACAUGGCGGUACAUAGGGCAUAAAAUCUGGGUUCGAAGACCUGAGCCUGAGUCCUGGCUUUCCACCUGCUAACCACAUCCCUGCCAUCAGGGCAGGCUGAUGUUUCCUGGUCAGUACAACAGGGCUGCAGAAAUCUAUUUUGCAGAGUUGCCGGGAGGAUCAAAUGAAGUUAUGUGUGUGAAAGCAUCUUGUAAACUGUAAACACUAGACAUGGUAUACAUUAGUUUUUGGUGUUACCCAGUAGGUCAUUUCUCUCUCUCAAACAUUUAUUCUCUAUCAUGUGUCCGGGUGUUUAUCCAAAAGUAAACACUGAUCAUGGCAUCAUGAUUUUGUUUUGUUUUAUUUUGAGACGGAGUCUCGCUCUGUUGCCCAGGUUGGAGUGCAGUGGCGCAAUCUCUGCUCACUGCAACCUCCGCCUCCCGGGUUCAAGCAAUUCUCCUGCCCCAGCCUCCCGAGGAGCUGGGACUACAGGCGUGUGCCACCACACCCAGCUAAUUUUAGUAUUUUUAGUAGAUGGGGUUUCACCACGUUAGCCAGGAUGGUCUCGAUCUGACCUUGUGAUCCACUUGCCUCGGCCUCCCAAAGUGCUGAGAUUACAGGCGUGAGCCACGGCGCCCGGCCCUAAUCAUGGCUUUUAAGGGGUCAAUGCAAGCCAGGGAAGAUGGACAAAAAGAGGAAUUACAGAACACAGUAUGACACAUGUACAACUGGGUAAGCAGAAAGGGCUGUGGAAGCACCCAAGGGGCACCUAGCCCAGCCCUUAGGAGUCAGCAGAGGCUGCCUGGUGGAGGUUUCAUCUGAACAGGUGCUCUGAAGGGACAGUAGCCAUUGGCCAGGAAGAGGGAAGGAAGAGCUUCCAGGCAGAGGACAAGCAUGAUGGGCUUCAUUUGGCUGCACCAGAGAUCAACAAACAAUGGUAAGGAUGGGGGGAGUCCUGAGAGUGUAUGUAAGUUAUGCGGCUUGAACUUACUGGACGGCAUUAAUGAGCUUCUAUUCAUGUCUAAUAAGGAAAAAAGAGGGUUCUAUCAUGGGUUAUGCCACAUUUGUUUUUCUUGGUAGUUGGGACAGUUGCUUUGUUAAUUGCCUUUUUUGAACAUACUCUCCUAUACCCACAGCACAUUUGCUGGAGUCAUGGGGGUGGGGUGUGAUAAUCUGCACUAUUCAUGAGCUGUGGCCAGGUGAUCCAGCACAAAGAUGCCCAGCUGUGGGGAAUACAUUCAUUCUUCCCUAACACAUUAAAACCACAACCAAGGAAAGCUGGCUGAAUAAAACUGAGUGGCCCCAAGGAUACAAACACCUCCAACACGAGUCAUUUAUUUAUGAAAAGUGAAUAGGAUACAAAUUAAAAGCUUGGGCGCAGGAGCCAGACUGCUGUGACUUGAAUCCUGGCUCCUCCAUUUCCAACUUCCCCCAGCCUCAGUUGUCUAUCUGUAAAAUGGGUCUCAUAGUAGGAUCUGCCACACAGGAUUGUGUAUUAAAAGAGAUAAUCAAUAUCGAGUAUUUGGCACAGUGCCUGGCACAUGGGGCUCCCAACACAUGGUGUUGGUGGUGUUCCUAUUUGUUGUUUUUCUCUUGUAGCAAUGCUGAAUCCAGUCUGCUCCCACUUACAGUUUACAUGAUGGAAGAAUUAGAGACUUGAACACAGAAAUGAAUUAUCCCUGUUAACCCUAACCCCAGAACAUUGAGGCCACAGGAAAUACAACCGCAGUGACCUGGACUUCUGCGUUAGUCAUGAUCAGUACGUAUUAGGUCACAGCUAGUCUACGCUUUAUCACAUGGUGGUGACAUUCCAGUUUCAUAUGAGAGGGCUCUCAGUUAAGUAAGUGCACUAAAAAUGCAUACUGGAAAACACCCGUGAUCUAUCUAAAACAUUGUUCCAGUGCCCUCGUUUUUUUGUUUUGCUUUGUUUUUUUAAAUCCCAGAGAGCAAUACCAUAAAAUAUUUCAUUAGACCUUUUUAUUCAAGAUCCAUCUUAAAAAGUUGAGGCUGUACCUCAAAUAUCUUUUAUUUUCCUUGCUGACUUGUUACAUGACCCCCACUGGCCUGUGAAUAUAUCCAAAGAUUUUUCUGUGUUUUAAUCUGAACUCACUUUGAAGCUAUUUAUAUGUUUGGCAUGGUAACACAAUGGAGGUAAUAAACACCAUGCAGGUCUGACUCAGCUUUGAAAGCAGCUUUCUGAGUGACACCUUCCUCAGGAUUCCCUGAGCUAACUUUAUGGGAUCUGGUAAGUAACUUCAUAUUCACUCCAUAGCACUUACGAUCUCCCAAUCAUUUCCUGCAGAUCUAGCCUGGAAGCUAAAUUUUAAAACUAGCUGUGAAUUUAGAAGAUGAUUCAUAAGCUCUGUGCAUACCAUGGUUAUGACUGGUGGAAGGCAGAGAUUCUUACAUCAGUCUUCUUUACAUUUUAACAGCAAGGAAAAUAACAGGUUAGAGGAGUACUUUGUAUCUACCCUCCCUUGCUUCCGGCAAAUUAAUGAAAGCCAAAUAAAUUGCAACACUUUGAUAUCUGUGUCUCUGUAACGUUAAAGACAGCCCUGGGCUGCGAGAGAUGAACGUGGUAGAGCACCUCCGGGCCAGCUUCCCAGUGGAGCAAUGGUAUUGGAGAGGUGGACAACGUGGGGAGGCUGAGGGAGCUAGAUCUUCGAAGGCAGAGAACAACACGGUGUGUCAGGCAAGCCACAAGCUCUUUUUGCAGCAUAAAAGCAAGAGGGGAGAGUGGCAGGGGAAAAACUCAGGUUAUUUAUUUUUUUUUUUUUUCUGAAAACCACUUGCUGAAAUAGAAUGCCUCUUCUGAAUACUGAUGUCAUUAGACUAUCAAUUUAGGUUAUAUUAAAUUUUUUCAGGAUAGCUAUCCUUAAAUUUCAAAGCAUUUAUUGGCCAGGUUUCUAAAGUGUGAUAGCAUCAUUCACCAGGAAGCAGGGAAUUUAGAAUCGAGGUGACACCGGACCACAGAGUGAGUCUCUGGUGUAGAGGCAGGAAUAUGCUCAGUAAGGUAGCUCGUCAGCCGUAAGGCUGCCCAGGAGUGAGGCUUCCUCUGCAGGGUCUCACGGGUGCCUUCUCAUGCCUUUUACUGGAGCCAUAUCUAAUGACUUUAAAAGGUUAACCCUGGAUCUGUUCUGGUGAACUUCAUCCAUGUUUGUAACAUCCUAGAAAGUAUUUAUUCUGAGAAGCUGAAAAACAAAAAAAGAUCUUCCCAGAUUUCUGAAAAUGGGGUGGAUACUGACCUACAUUCAGUGUUCUAGAUUAAAAUCACAGAUUUUGGAUAGAGAAAGUAUUCUCUGUAAUCUAAUAAAACCAACUUUUUUUUUUUUUUGAGAAAGAGUCUCGCUCAUGGCCCAGUCUAGAGUUGCAGUGGCACGAUCUCGGCUCACUGCAACCUCUGCCUGUCGGGUUCAAGCGAUUGUCCUGCCUCCUGCCCCAGCCUCCCAAGUAGCGGGGAUUACAGGCAUGUGCCAUGACGCCCAGCUAGUUUUUUGUAUUUUUAGUAGAGGGGGGGGGUCUUGCCAUGUUGCCCAGGCUGGUCUUGAACUUCUGACCUCAGGCGAUCAGGCCAUCUUGGCCUCCCAAAGUGUUGGGAUUACAGGCGUGAGCCACCACGCCUGGCCAAAACCAACAUAUUUUAUGGAUAGGAAAUUGAGGCUUAGAUGGGGGGGAAGAAAAACAUUACACAGAUUAAACCACAGCUAAUGUCAGGUGGUGACCAAAGCAAGUCUUUUAUUGCAGGCUGGGUUUUUCCAUGUGGCUGGUUGUAUGCUGCACCAAGAGGCAGACACAGUAGGCCAGUUUCCUGUGCAGACCCAGCUGCAAUCCCAUCUCUAAGCCAGGAUGCUAUUAGGUCUCAACAACCCAUGGGAAUUUAGGGUGCUCAUGAUUUAGGCUGGAAAGAGGUGACUAAGCUCCUUGAUCUAAGGUCUAUGCAACUGGCCACUCACUGCGGACCAGGGACAUUCAAUGCCAGACAGCGGUAGGGCUGGUCUGGGGCGGCAAGCCAGAUCCUGGGCAAAGCAGCCUUUCUGCUAAGGGUUCCCUGGCAGACCACGACGAUGGCCUCUUGCAAAUGUGACCUGACGGUGGCAAAAGUCUUCUUUCAAAGCCCAUUCCUAGGGCCUGCUCUUUCCCCAGCACUGUCCCCCAGGAAGCCCCCUUGCUAGCCAUAUUCAUAAAGUUAAACGACUAAAACAUGUUUUGGAAAGUAGUUUCUCUUGGUAUUUUAGUGUGUUGUUUACUCUCUUACUGUACUAACAAUAUAAAUUGCUAAAGGCUUCCUGGAAAUCAAAACUGCAAAUUAGAGAAAAAUAGGGUUAGAGAAAAUGUCUUUG